GGCAAUCCCUACUCCCUGCCAAAGGAGAACCCAGUUACUGAACAUCGGAUGAGACCAUGGAUAGUAAAUUGGGAGUGAAGGUCCAUACCUGGGUCUCAGAAGCACAGUACAGGUUUUUAGAACAAGCCACCUUAUACAAGUUAAAAUUCAUGAAGGAAUGGAUACAGGUUAAGUUACACCAGCCUCCUGAGUAUGACAGCAACAUUCCUUCAGGGAUUAAAGAAAAUGCUUCAGAAGAUUGGAACACUGCUCAGCCUUCCCAACCUUCUUUUACCACUGAUGUUUCUACCUUAGUGAUCUUCCUCCUUAUUUUAAUGCUUCUUUCUCUUUACAAUUAAAAGUUCAUAAAAUCUUUCAACAUUAUUUUUCACUACAAAAGUCUGAAGUUCUCUGUGAAAUGCCUACAUGUAAGAAUUAAGAUAGAUUUUAAAGACUGUCAGUCUCAAAAUUCCAUGCUCAUCAGUUAGUGCAUGAUAUUAAAUUAUGCUUUUUUCCUCCUUUUAAAUAUACCAACAUUAUAUUGCUGAUUUUUUUAUUUACCUGGGUAAGAGCACUGACUCGGUUCUCACUAGGAAACAAAGGUGGGUCUUCUCCAACUUGAAAAUCAAAAUAUACAGUUUUAUGUGUGAAAGUAGAAAAUUCAUUGCUGAAGCAAAAUUUGUAUGUCCCAUUUUUGGAGGCUGUGAAGGUAAAACUAUCAUACUGUUUCUUCAUCUCUUUGUAUAACACUUUACCAUCAGGAUCUUCUAAUCGACAAUCUACAUC
rnacentral:lncRNA from 1 species